GCCCGCCUAGCUCAAUCGGAUAGAGCGUCAGACUCUUAGGGCGGAAAUCUGAAGGCUGCGAGUUCGACCCUCGCGGUGGGCU